UACGUAGGGUGCGAGCGUUAAUCGGAAUUACUGGGCGUAAAGUGUGCGCAGGCGGCCGAGCAAGUCGAGUGUGAAAGCCCCGGGCUUAACUUGGGAAUUGCGCUCGAAACUACUUGGCUGGAGUGUGGCAGAGGAAGGUGGAAUUCCAGGUGUAGCGGUGAAAUGCGUAGAGAUCUGGAGGAACACCGAUGGCGAAGGCAGCCUUCUGGGCCAACACUGACACUCAAGUGCGAAAGCGUGGGGAGCAAACAGG
rnacentral:rRNA from 1 species